GAAGAGGCUGGUCUGGCGCGACCAACCAGACCCCCGUCUGAUCCCACGCGCGACUGAACCACGAAGAGAGGAGAGGGGGCCGACUGCUCUCGCCCUCGACGCUGCUCACCUACCACCAGAUCGAGGAGAGGAACAUCAGAUCGGAGGAGGAGAAAAGGGGAUCGAGGGAAGAGAAGGGAUCGAGGGUUUCGGGAGGCUGGCGACCUGGCUGAUCCACCGCGAGGCCUCUCCGCUCUGACCGACGCCCGCGCUGCUCUUCUCCUACCCCGACCGCGAGGCCUCUCCGCUCUGACCGACGCCCGCGCUGCUCUUCUCCUACCCCGACGACCGCGCUGCUCUUCUCCAACCUCAACGACCGCUGCUGAUCUUCUCCAACACCGACGCCCGCAUCGCUCUGCUUCAACUCAGACGCCCGUUGCAGCUGUUCGUCCCCAACUCCGAUGAUAGCCGCUGUGGCAUCUCCUGCGGGGCGCCGGACUCCUGGUGAUUCUUUGCUCCGGGUGGUCGGCUGAUCUCCCGUGAAGGCCACCACGAUUCCUUCACAAGGCCGGGACCUCUGCUGUUCUCCUUCGCCUGCAACAUCUACAGCUUCGAAUUGAAGCUCACCAAGACCAUAGGCUCUGAACUUCUCUCUUCUCCUGUCAUUGUUUUCUGAAUAUAUGCAUUGUUGGAUCUGAAAAUUGCUCUGUUUCCUAUGUACCCUUGCUGAAAUCUCAUGUAUUCUUGCUGGAUGGUUGUGACACUUGCUGAAUAUUCAGAUAGUAGUUAUUCUCCUGUGAGCUGCUGUCAUUUUAAUUGAUUGCAUGAGUGUGUG
rnacentral:rRNA from 1 species